rnacentral:rRNA from 1 species
UUUUUAUAUUUAUUAUUUAAAAUUUUAUUGAAUAUAUUAUUUUAAGUAGUAAGUAUUUAAUUGGGGUGAUUGAAAAAUUAGAAAAAUUUUUUUUAAAUUUUAAACAAUAAUUUUUGAAUAAAAUAUCUAUUAAUAAUAAAUACAUAAUAAGU